rnacentral:SRP_RNA from 1 species
UAUGGAGAAUAAUUCAAUGUAAGCCUAUGAAAUUUGUCAGGUCCGGAAGGAAGCAGCAAUAAAUAGUUACUUAUGUGUGAGUUAUUUUCCAUAGAG